CCCUUAGAUGUCCUGGGCUGCACGCGCGCUACACUGAUGUGUCCAGUAAGCACCUAACCUCUUCCGAAAGGAACGGGUAACCUUUGCAAAGCACAUCGUGAUGGGGAUAGAUUAUUGCAAUUAUUAGUCUUGAACGAGGAAUUCCUAGUAAGCACAAGUCAUCAGCUUGUGUUGAUUACGUCCCUGCCCUUUGUACACACCGCCCGUCGCUCCUACCGAUUGAAUGUUCCGGUGAGCUCUUCGGACUGCGCGGUCUGCAGUUUCUGCGUUCCGUGCGGAAAGUUGCGCAGACCUUAACAUUUAGAGGAAGGAGAAGUCGUAACA
rnacentral:rRNA from 1 species